UUUUCAGCCAGUUGUUGUACA
ensembl:piRNA 21ur-574 ncRNA